rnacentral:misc_RNA from 1 species
GGAAAGUAAAAGUCGUAACAAGGUUUCCGUAGGUGAACCUGCGGAAGGAUCAUUAUUGUAUAACCGAGGUGCGAGGGCUGUCGCUGACCCGAAAGGUCGUGCACGCCCGAGUGCCCUCACACACAUCCAUCUCACCCCUAUGUGCACCACCGCGUGGGUCCCCCUUUGGCUUGUUCGGAGGGGGGCUUACGUUUUCACACAAACUUUGUAUGCAGUGUAGAAUGUAUUUUUUGUUUUUGCGAUCACGCAAUCAAUACAACUUUCAACAACGGAUCUCUUGGCUCUC